UGGCUCAGAGGUAAGAGCACUGGCUGCUCUUCCAGAGGUCCUGAGUUCAAUUCUCAG
rnacentral:tRNA from 1 species